rnacentral:rRNA from 1 species
UACGGGGGGAGCAAGCGUUGUUCGGAUUUACUGGGCGUAAAGGGCGCGUAGGCGGCCACCGCAAGUCAGUUGUGAAAUCUCUGGGCUUAACCCAGAACGGUCAGCUGAUACUGCGGGGCUAGAGUGCAGAAGGGGCAACUGGAAUUCUCGGUGUAGCGGUGAAAUGCGUAGACAUCGAGAGGAACACCUGCGGCGAAGGCGGGUUGCUGGGCUGACACUGACGCUGACAGCGCGAAAGCUAGGGGAGCGAACGGG